UGCUCGUAUAGCUCAGUUGGUUAGAGCACCGGUCUUAUGAGCCGGGGGUCCUGGGUUCGAGCCCCAGUAUGAGCA
rnacentral:tRNA from 1 species